UAGCUCAGUUGGUUAGAGCGCUGGAUUGUGGCUCCGGAGGCCGUGGGUUCGAACCCCAU
rnacentral:tRNA from 1 species